UACGGGGGGGGCAAGCGUUGUUCGGAAUUACUGGGCGUAAAGGGCUCGUAGGCGGCCAACUAAGUCAGACGUGAAAUCCCUCGGCUUAACCGGGGAACUGCGUCUGAUACUGGAUGGCUUGAGUUUGGGAGAGGGAUGCAGAAUUCCAGGUGUAGCGGUGAAAUGCGUAGAUAUCUGGAGGAAUACCGGUGGCGAAGGCGGCAUCCUGGACCGACAUUGACGCUGAGGAGCGAAAGCUAGGGGAGCAAACGGG
rnacentral:rRNA from 1 species